ensembl:lncRNA
CUGAAAAACAAGAGUGAUACAACUAAAGCAACACAGAAAUUUCUAGCUGACUGUGCACCUUAUGGCAAUGUUAAGUGCAUUAGAUCGGACAACGGUACUGAAUACACAAGUGAUUCAUUUCAAACACUGCUCAGAGAAAAGGGUAUCAGACACGAGACCUCAUCACCAUACUCCCCACAUCAAAAUGGAACAGCAGAAAGACAGUGGAGGACGCUAUUUGAGAUGGGAAGGUGCAUGUUGUUAGAAAAGGGUUUGCCAAAAGAACUAUGGCCUUAUGCAGUACAGUGCGCUGCCCACAUUCGCAACAGGUGCUACAAUAACCGAACUAAAAGUACCCCAUAUUACAUGAUGACUGGAAGAAAACCUAAUCUGUCUAAAAUGUGGAUUUUUGGAUCAAACUGUUACACUUACAAUGACAAUCACAAGAAAUUAGACUCAAAAGGGGAAAAAGGAAUGUUUGUAGGAUACAGCAAAAACAGCCCAGCCUACUUAGUGUAUCACCCACAGACAAGAAAAGUGUCCAGACACAGACUAGUGAAGUUCAUUAAAGAAAAUGGCGUUAAUCAACAAACACAGACAAAUGAGUGGGAAGUAGAAACCCAGGAAAAACAGACAGACAAAAGACACGUUGAGACUCUGUUAAUCCAAGGCAUCACUGAAAACAUCAAUGCAGGUGAAGAUGAGGAAAACACUCUAGAUGAAACACAAAAUGAGAAUUUUUCUGAUAACAUGAUAGGAAAUAAAAAUGAAGAUGAGGAAAACAAAACAAAACAAAACGACCGGUAUCCGAAAAGAGAGAAAAGACCACCAAAAUACUUUGAGGAUUACGUACCAGAUUCCAAAAUCAAAGAUGUAACACAAAUAACUGUUGAUUUUUGUUACAGGGCUGUGUGCGGUAUCCCUCAAACAUUCAGUGAGGCUCAAAAAUCAACACAAUCAGAAAGAUGGAAACAAGCAAUGACAGAAGAGAUAAACUCACUUAAAGAAAAUGAUACAUUUGAACUGAGCAUUUUACCAAAAGGUAGAAACACAGUGGGAGGAAAGUGGGUUUAUACCAUCAAAGAAAAUGAAGAGAAAGAAAAGAUCUUCAAAGCUAGAUAUGUAGCAAAGGGCUACAGCCAAACAGAAGGUAUAGAUUACCACGAAACCUUUGCACCAACAGCAAACAUCACAUCUGUGAGAGUGUUAAUGCAGUUAGCAGUUCAAAACAACCUUAAAGUACAUCAGAUGGAUGUCAAAACAGCUUUCUUGCACGCUCCAAUUGAUGAAGAAAUUUACAUAGAACAGCCAGAGGGCUAUGAAGAACACACGGGAACAGGAGAAAAGUAUGUGUACAAAUUAAAGAAAUCCCUGUAUGGGUUAAAACAAUCAGGAAGAAACUGGUACAAACUUUUAAAUGACCAUCUCGAACAAAACGAUUUUGAAAGGAAUCCUGCUGAUCAUUGUGUUUACAGAAAACAAACAGAAAAUGCCAGUGUUAUUGUUCUCAUUUGGGUGGAUGAUUUGAUCAUUGCUGCUAGCAGCAUUGAUUUUUUGAACAAUUUCAAAGAAACGAUGAGAUCCAAAUUUAACAUGAAAGAUUUGGGCAAAAUAAAUUAUUUUUUAGGUAUACAUUUUAAGCAAGAAGAAGAUGAAAUUAAAAUGAGCCAAAAGAAAUACGUCCUGAAAGUGUUGGAAAAAUACAGAAUGUCAGAUUCCAAACCGAGAUCCACCCCAUGUGAGCAAAGUGCUAAUUUAAAUGAAAAUAAUGGGGAUGACAAAACAAACACUGUAAAUCCUACACACUAUCGUGAGAUAGUAGGUAGUCUGAUUUAUGCAAUGACCUGCACCAGACCAGACAUCAGUUGGGUAGUGAGUAAACUAUCCCAAACAUUAGCUAAACCUGCGACAGAAGACCUGGUGAAUGCUAAACAUGUUUUAAGAUACCUCAAAGGUACAUGUGACUAUGAGCUAACAUUCAAGAAAAACAACGAAGACUUGAACCUCAUUGCAUACAGUGACUCGGACUGGGCAUCCUCAGUUGAGGACAGACGCAGCACCACAGGCUAUUGUUUUAGCUUAACAUCACAAGGUCCAGCUAUUUCUUGGAAAUCCAGGAAACAGCCAACUGUAGCUCUUUCCACAUGUGAGGCUGAGUACAUUGCUUUGACAGCCACUACUCAAGAAAGCAUGUAUCUAACCCAACUGUUAAAUGGCAUUGACAACAAAAAGUACAGCUGUACAAAAAUCCAUGGUGAUAAUCAAGGGGCAAUCGCAUUGUGUAAAAAUCCUG